CAUCUUUGUGCGCAAGUCAAAUGGCUAGGGCUAUUUGAAAAGAUGAGAUAUCCCGCAGUACAUUUCAAUGAAAAGACCGGAGACAGAAGGACUGACAACUGCUUUAAUCCAAGACUAUAAUCCAUGCGGUGAAAUUUGAUUAAAUACUUGACAACAAUGGCGACAGGUGAUAGAAAGAUCUACCCUUUUAAGUAUGCGGAAGUGAAGGAAGACAAGCCUGAUAGAUGUACCAUUACAUUCCACUUGGAUGGGCUGACCAGAAAAGACCAAGUGGAGGCCUCCAUACUAGAUAGGUAGAGAUG